rnacentral:rRNA from 1 species
ACGGAGGGUGCGAGCGUUGUCCGGAAUCACUGGGCGUAAAGGGCGCGUAGGCGGCAUGCCAAGCGUGUGGUGAAAGCCCGGGGCUCAACCCCGGGUCGGCCGUGCGGACUGGCGUGCUCGAGCACUGUAGGGGCGGGUGGAAUUCCGGGUGUAGCGGUGGAAUGCGUAGAGAUCGGGAAGAAUACCCGUGGCGAAGGCGGCCAGCUGGGCCAGGUCCGACACUGAGGCGCGAAAGCGUGGGGAGCAAACAGGA